rnacentral:rRNA from 1 species
GACGAACGCUGGCGGCGUGCUUAACACAUGCAAGUCGAACGGAAAGGCCCUGCUUUUGUGGGGUGCUCGAGUGGCGAACGGGUGAGUAACACGUGAGUAACCUGCCCUUGACUUUGGGAUAACUUCAGGAAACUGGGGCUAAUACCGGAUAGGAGCUCCUGCUGCAUGGUGGGGGUUGGAACGUUUCGGCGGAUGGGGAUGGACUCGCGGCUUAUCAGCUUGUUGGUGGGGUAGUGGCUUACCAAGGCUUUGACGGGUAGCCGGCCUGAGAGGGUGACCGGGCACAUUGUGACUGGGGUGCGGCCCAGGCGCCUACGGGGGGCAGCAGUGGGGAAUAUUGCACAAUGGGCGGAGGCCGGAUGCAGCGACGCCGCGUGCGGGAUGACGGCCUUCGGGUUGUAAACCGCUUUCGCCUGUGACGAAGCGUGAGUGACGGUAAUGGGUAAAGAAGCACCGGCUAACUACGG